ensembl:lncRNA
UGGCGGGGAUAGCACCGUUUAUUAAGAAAAAUCAAGACAAAGACCCUUCUAGGACCUGAGGUCAGGUGUCCCAAAGCCACAAUAUGGGGACUGCUGACCACCAGGUCGGUCGUUGGGUUCCCAGGGGUGGGGCUGUCAUCUUCCUCCCACUCCCCCCAGUCAGGGGUCUUGGCCUCCCCACUCUAAGGCACUGGCUCUUCCUGACCACCAGUUCCCCCAAGUCCCUGGGCCUUCACCUCCAGAAGAGUGGGGGAUGUGGUCUGGUGUGGUGAGACCUCAGUGCUGGGUGUUCCAGGGAGGAGCUGGGGGGGUUUCCCUUGCAGCCCUGAGGGGGGACCCUGGACUGUGUGUGGGUGGUGGGAAUGCAGAGGGAGGGAGUGGAGGUGGGAGGAGGCUGUGCCGCUGGGCAGAGGUGGGGGAUUGGGAUGGAGCUGGUGGGGGGAAGAGCAAGCUGCCUUCUGCUCCACAGGGGGCGCUAUGGAGUUUUCCAGCCCAGGGUUGGGGGGGUAAGGGCAGGUGAUACCUCCUGUUCACUUAGCUGGUGGGCACCAGGUGGUGAGCUGAGAUGGUCCUCAGGAAGGAGGGCUGCCCAAGGGCUCCCAAAGUGGGUGGCCCAGUUCUUUGGGGGUUCCGUCAGGGCAUGAGGGGUUGGGAUAGAUCUGGGUCUACCCAGCCACCAUGCCUAACCUCAGUUCUUGGUGGCUUUCUGAGGCAACAGACCCUCCCACCUGCCCUGCCCACAGGCCUUGGUGCUUUUCCCAUGUGUGUGGGAAGCUGGUGUGCCCACCCUCCAGUCCAGCCCAGGGCAGUAGCAGCAAAGCAUGGCAUCGCUUCAGUUUCUUACAAAAAACUCAUAAUAAUAAUAUUAAUAAUAAUAUACUCGACAUUGUCAGGCUGGGCGUGGCCUGGGAGUCCAUGGGAAGCUGGCAAGUGCCUAUGAGGGGCAGGGGCGUGUGUUGGCUCCAGCCUGGGCACGGUGCUGCAGGUCUAGGGGUUGGGGCGGUGGUGCGCCAGGCCCAGCCGAGUGCAGCACUAGGUUCUUGAUACAGCCUGUGAUGCCUGAGGAGAACCUGCCUCUGGUCAGUGUGGCCACUGAGCAUCGCCAAGGACACGAAAUCCCUCCACAGGCCCGAUCCUCCCCCCGCUGAACAGCAGGAUCCCAUCUGGCGCCAGGGGCUUGAACUCCAUGUCCAGCCGUAGCUCGUGGUGUGUGUUGGUGAGGGCAGGGAGUGCCAGGUAAGAGCCAGCGCCCGACAUGGAUGGGGCAGUCACUGUCACACCUGCAGCAGCCACAGCUCAGCCAGGGGCAGUGGGGCCAAGGGGUUCUGGGCAGGACCCAGCUACUCGGUUUUCCCUGAGACCCUUGCCCACCUCACUCCCCAUUUCAGAGGCUUGGUACCAGCUGGGUGCCAGCUGUUGCUGGCCAGGAGCCCCAGGCCUGGCUCUGCAGAUCAGGCUGUGAGCACCUCUAGCCUGGGGGCCUCCCUGGGGGCCCUCACAUAAGGGAUUCAGGCUGGCAGCAGACAGGUGUUUUUGAGAUUUUAGGGCUUCAAGAUAAAUUUAUCACCUGCAGGGUCCAACAUGGCCUCUGAGUGCCCUGGCCACCAUCCCCAACUGUCACUGAGACCCUAGGGGUCAUACCUGACUCUACUUACCUUCCCUCACACCUCACUCCCUGAGCGGCCCAGGUGGCAGCGGCAGGUGUAGCCUCGACCAUCGGGCCGGUUCACACAGGUGGCGUCGGGCCCGCAGGCCUCUGGGGGCACAGG